GUGGGGAAUAUUGGACAAUGGGCGAAAGCCUGAUCCAGCCAUGCCGCGUGUGUGAAGAAGGUCUUCGGAUUGUAAAGCACUUUAAGUUGGGAGGAAGGGCAGUAAGCUAAUACCUUGCUGUUUUGACGUUACCGACAGAAUAAGCACCGGCUAACAUCGUGCCAGCAGCCGCGGUAAUACGAAGGGUGCAAGCGUUAAUCGGAAUUACUGGGCGUAAAGCGCGCGUAGGUGGUUUUGUAAGUUGGAGGUGAAAUCCCCGGGCUCAACCUGGGAACUGCCUCCAAAACUGCAUGACUAGAGUACGGUAGAGGGUAGUGGAAUUUCCUGUGUAGCGGUGAAAUGCGUAGAUAUAGGAAGGAACACCAGUGGCGAAGGCGACUACCUGGACUGAUACUGACACUGAGGUGCGAAAGCGUGGGGAGCAAACAGGAUUAGAUACCCGUGUAGUCC
rnacentral:rRNA from 1 species